rnacentral:rRNA from 1 species
UACGUAGGCAGCGAGCGUUGUUCGGAGUUACUGGGCGUAAAGGGUGUGUAGGCGGUCGUUUAAGUUUGGUGUGAAAUCUCCCGGCUCAACCGGGAGGGUGCGCCGAAUACUGAGCGGCUAGAGUGCGGGAGAGGAAAGUGGAAUUCCUGGUGUAGCGGUGAAAUGCGUAGAUAUCAGGAGGAACACCGGUGGUGUAGACGGCUUUCUGGACCGUAACUGACGCUGAGACACGAAAGCGUGGGUAGCAAACAGG